UUUGAAAACGGGAGAAUCAGUUCAGACUGAAGAGGAAUGGAUCCCUGCAACUAAUCCUGCCAAGUGCUAAAUAUACCGAAGAGCAGUGCUUUGCUGCACAUAUCUGCAGUGGCGUAGCAGGAGAAGGGAAUCUCGUGUGAACUCCAGAGACAGGGUGUAAGUUUUGUGAGGACAGCUGUCAUCCUGGCCAGAGAAUGUAUGUGUGCCAUACAGGUGAUGUGUGACCUGGAGCCUGCAGCCUAAAAGAAGCUCUUGCUAAGUGAGCUGGAAAAAGAACAAAAGAGGCCUCUGCUACGGGUGUUCAGUGGGGAAAACCAGGUAUGUUCCAUCACUGAAAGGACUUGCACUGGCAGGGCAAUCCCAGUGGUUCGUGCUUUUAAUAUGUUCCUACAAGAGACCUAAAGAUGGCACCUGAGGUAUAGCACUGCUAAGGGAGGCAGAGGGACACGAAGAAAGUUCAGCUCUCUGUAUUCAGAGGUAAACUGGAAAAGGUCAAGCACGAUGGUGGCCCAUGAACAACCGGACACUGAAUAUUGCCAGAUACAUGUAGUGACAUGAGCAAGAAACAAUCCUGUGGUAAAGAGAUGGGGUCAUAUAAGAAUCCCGGAGUCAGA
rnacentral:lncRNA from 1 species